rnacentral:rRNA from 1 species
CCUACGGGGUGCAGCAGUGAGGAAUAUUGGUCAAUGGACGAGAGUCUGAACCAGCCAAGUAGCGUGAAGGAUGACUGCCCUAUGGGUUGUAAACUUCUUUUAUAUGGGAAUAAAAUGUUCCACGUGUGGGAUUUUGUAUGUACCAUAUGAAUAAGGAUCGGCUAACUCCGUGCCAGCAGCCGCGGUAAUACGGAGGAUCCGAGCGUUAUCCGGAUUUAUUGGGUUUAAAGGGAGCGUAGGUGGAUUGUUAAGUCAGUUGUGAAAGUUUGCGGCUCAACCGUAAAAUUGCAGUUGAAACUGGCAGUCUUGAGUACAGUAGAGGUGGGCGGAAUUCGUGGGGUAGCGGUGAAAGGCUUAGAUAUCACGAAGAACUCCGAUUGCGAAGGCAGCUCACUGGACUGCAACUGACACUGAGGCUCGAAAGUGUGGGUAUCAAACAGGAUUAGAGACCCUAGUAGUC